AAGAAUCGUGUAAAGCAGAUUGUACU
rnacentral:piRNA from 1 species